rnacentral:rRNA from 1 species
GGAGGAAAGCAGGGGAUCGCAAGACCUUGCGCUCAUUGAGCGGCCGAUGCCUGAUUAGCUAGUCGGUGAGGUAAAGGCUUACCAAGGCGACGAUCAGUAGCUGGUCUGAGAGGACGACCAGCCACACUGGGACUGAGACACGGCCCAGACUCCUACGGGAGGCAGCGGUGGGGAAUUUUGGACAAUGGGGGAAACCCUGAUCCAGCCAUGCCGCGUGAGUGAAGAAGGCCUUCGGGUUGUAAAGCUCUUUCAGCCGGAACGAAACGGUCACGGCUAAUACCUGUGACUACUGACGGUACCGGAAGAAGAAGCACCGGCUAACUACGUGCCAGCAGCCGCGGUAAUACGUAGGGUGCGAGCGUUAAUCGGAAUUACUGGGCGUAAAGCGUGCGCAGGCGGUUUUGU